AACUUUUGGCAACGGAUCACUUGGCUCUCCUAUCGAUGAAGAACGCAGCGAAAUGCGAUAAGUAAUUUGAAUUGCAGAAUUCAGUGAAUCAUCGAAUCUUUGAACGCACCUUGCGCCCUUUGUCUAUUCCGAAGGGCAUGCCUGUUUGAGUAUCAUGAACACCUCAACUCUCAUGGCUUGCCAUGAUGAGCUUGGACUUUGGGGGUCUUGUUGGCCUGUGAGCCAGCUCCUCUCAAACGAAUCAGCUUGCCGGUGUUUGGUGGCGUCACAGGUGUGAUAACUAUCUACGCUUGUGGUGUUUUCCACCAGGUAACCUUCAGCAAUGGAGGUUCACCGGGGCUCAUAAAAGUCUCUCCUCGGUGAGGACAGCUCUUUGAACGUUUGAUCUCAAAUCAGGUAGGACUACCCGCUGAACUUAAGCAUAUCAAUAAGCGGAGGCU
rnacentral:misc_RNA from 1 species